UUUUAGAUUUUACCUCAUUUAAUUUGUCAUGUCCUGUAAACUUAGUGUUUUAGAUGUUUUAUAUGAUAGUGUUCACCUUGAGUAAUCUUUCUGUCCUCUUUCUUACAUACACAGAACAGACUGCCUGCAUAGUGCAUCUUUAUCCCUCAGGUCUUUGAUGAAGACUUUUUCCUGUUUUGUAUAUCUCCCGAUGCCUAUCUUAAUUGCACAAGCACACAAUUCAGCCUUCUCUGCCUCAGUCAAUGAGUGUGUCAUCCUGUGGUCAUGCUGAACAAGUAGCUGUAAUCGGACAAGCAUUUUUUACUGCUUGUGUAAAGCUACUCCUCAUUUCUCCCCUGACCCUUGACCACUACACUAACACCACAGGGAGGGGAGGUAUGGCACCGGUUGCUUGUCCUAGGCCAGAUGUGAGCUAGUUAGAAUCUGACCCCAUUUGCAGGAAGCUGUAUGUCAUAUUCACUUGAUGGCUGGACGACUCACUAAGAACAACUGUGUUCUUAGGCAGGCAUCCAUGUUUCAUCCAGUAGUUCGUUUAUCAUAUUUUCUUGUCAAGAAACCUUUACAUACAUGAAACUAAGUUAUAGUUGUUUUUUUUUUUUUUUUGCAGUUUGUUGUGUUGCUUUCUGCCAGCUUCUGGGAUUUCAAUCCUGAGCUCAGUUUCUGUCUCACUAUGUCCGUAUGGGCUUCCUCUGGGUUCUGCGGUUUCCUCCUUGUUUCAAAAAGCUUGCCACUGGCUAUGAUAAAUUGCCCCUAGGUGUGAAUGUAUGCGUGUGAUGACCUAUGAUGAACUGGUGUCCCAUCCAUGGUGUGUUCCUGCCUCACACGCAGCGUUCCUGGCACAGGCUUUGAUUCCACCCCAACCCUGACCAGGAUAAAGUGCUAACUGAAAGCAAUGCUGAAGAAGCAAGAGUAGAAAGCUGGUGCCCUCUAAUGGUGUAAGGAAAUCAGAGAACCCAGAGAAAAUGCAUAGGGGGAACAUAUGAAACUCCACACAGACAGUAACCCAAGAUCAGGAUUGAAUCAGGGACCAUGGAACUGUGAGAUGGACAAAAUUAUGCAAUAAGCCUCAAGGACAUCUAUCUGAAUAGCAUGAUGUGGGGUUUUUUUGAGACAAGCAGCUCUUAUAAGACAGAUGAAGUACACACAAAGCCUGAGUGACAGAACAUCUUCAUUCACCGAAUAAACAGCUCUUGGGUAUCAGAGCUUCUGCACAGGCAUUCCAAGCAGCCUUAUACCACCCUAAUGAGAUCAUUUGAUUUCAAAUCCCAAUUCCAAUAGCGUUUCAAGUCAUAUCAAAUUGCAAAGUGUCUCAAGGCCUGCACAUGCAUACAUCAUGUGACCUUUCUGGAAGAAUACAGACCUGUAUUCACAAGAUGGUUGGUCUGACUGUGCCUGAGAUGCUGAAUCGGUAUCUGUUCUCCACCUUGCCUUUCCUGAGCACCAUAGAUCUUGAUUUGGCUGGUUUAAAAAACAUCCUGGCCCACCUGACCAGUUGUUCCAGCCCCUGUAAAAUCCACCGACACAACAACGACAGGUGCUGAAGCCAUCAGUGCAGGACUUAAUUUGGCCAAGGGGUGCAAACCCUCCAAGAAGACCAUCGCCUUUGUCAGAGCGGGAGAGCAGCCCAAUCCUACCAAAAGAACAGCAUCAGCAGGCAUCCUUACCUCGGCAUGGGACUGGCAGCUGGUGGUUGACAUUGGACGACAGCUGAAGUUCCCCAGCCACAUCGCAGCCACCACCAUGCGACCAGACAUCGUCCUAAUGUCUGAGUCAACCAAGCAAGCUGUGAUGCUGCUGGAGCUGACAGUUCCAUGGGAAGAUCGCUUGGAAGAAGCUUUUGAAAGGAAGCUCUCAAAGUACGUGGAGCUGGUUAACACUUGUCAGCAGGCUGGAUAGAGAGCAAGGUGUCUUCCAGUGGAAGAAGGGUGCAGAGGAUUUGCAGCUUGUUCCCUAGUCAGAGCCUUUAGCAAUCUGGGCAUCAUAGGAGAGAGGAAAAGGAGAGCCAUCUGCAGUAUUAAGAUGGCUGUGGCUCAAAAGAGGAGAGCCGUGGAGCCAGUAGCUAGCCACCUGGACACAAGCUGGGGUCUGAUCAGCCCUGGCUGGGUCACCUGGAGGAGGGUGUAUGAUGUCGAAAGACCCGAAACACCCAAUGAUUCCAGGAACAUCACUGAGGAUGUGUCCAGAGGCAGCAUCGGAAGAUGUACGGUAUGUUUACAACUGUGACCUUUCUGGAAGAACGCAGACCUGUAUUCACAAGAUAUUAAAGAUAUCAUUAAAUCUAUAUUACAGACAAGAUAUCAGUGUUAUUACGUGACUUACUGUGUAAUGUGACGCAUGUUUGUAGGAGUAUAACAUAUUCAAACGCUGAAUUUGUAGAAAGAUUUAAUAUUGAAAUUGAACAGAGAACCAUGUAGGAGUUUGAGUGAGAUCUUCACACCUUACAGCGUUAUUACGGUUCAGUUCUGAUUUGCAUUGAAUGUCUCAAAAUUAAGUAUCAGUUUAUGUCUUUGGAUCCAAAUGAUGAUGGAUCUGUUUUUCAGUCUGACUCAUGGCUAGUGUUAUAAACGUCACAGAAACGUCACAUGAUGAAAUUUACGUGGUUUAUAGACACUUUACAUGUUAUGAUUCAAACAUUUUUGACAUUUAGCGCAUGUGAUUUUUUUUUUUAUUCAUGCAUUUUUCACAAAUGAUUGUAUACACAAAU